AAUAGUAAUGAAGGCUCUGAAUCUUAUAUUAAUUCUACUGGCUGUUUUUGCCUUUGGUGGAGAAUGUCAGGACGGCAACAAAAAGGGCGAUCAUUUAUUCAACAACAUCGCGAAAGCUUUCACAAAAAUGAUUCACGACAUAUUUGAAGAAACGAGUAUCAGUAAAUUUUGUACAGCUCGCCCGGGAGACCAAUUUAUAGUUGAAGACACCACAGAUAGAAACAAAGAUGUAACAAAGCAGUUCCCUUUUAUGAACGACGCCUUUCGUGAGUACAAAGACAAGACGUUGACAACUGAUCGUGAUAGCCUUACUGUCUAUGGACGGGCAAACGAAGGGGCGGAUGCUAAUUCUCUGCGAUGGAGCGAAAGCAUCGCAGAACUCAGAAGAAGAGUCUUUGCCUUGAUUACCAAAUUCGUUGAUAUCAAAAUGCAAGGAAAGCCAUCCCCAAGAGAGACCCUGGCACUUCAAAAUCACCUUCGUGAAUUGAUUGAGCAAAUUUUGAACAGGAGGGAAUUCGUGGACCAGGAUGCCAAGCGAGUUUUUAUACAAGAUCCAAAGAACAAAGCAAUGCUCUCAAUGCUCGCAAUGCUUUAACACCGUAUUUUAACCGUCCGGCACAUCCUUCACCCCACGAGACCAUACCCUCUAAAUAGAACCUCCCGAAUUGCUCGCACACAAGAGGACCCCCAGAGUCGUUUUGGCAAGAGUCUCGGCCCCCCUGAUCGUACCCGGCACAGAUCAUGGAAUCGUAAAUUUUACCAGCUGCGAGCUGAAAAAUUCCUUGAGAUGAAUGAAGACACCUCGGGACCAGUAGUAUA